UCCAUUUUCACUAUAAUGAAAUGGAGCACUGUAGAUUCACACUCGACUUCGCGAUCUAGCCUCUGUGCAAUCAAAUCGAUCUGGAGAUUGAGGGGUUGAAUUUAUUGGGGAAUUUUUUUACUUAAUGAUUCCAUUUAGUGUUGCAUUAAAAAUGAUUAAAGAUACAAAUGGAGGGGAUGAGGAGCUCAACAAUCACUCGAAUAUGGUGCAUAUAAAGAGUUAGUCCAAGAAAUUGGUCCCGAUCCAUCCCCAUGUUCUUUGGUAAAAUCAAAGGGGGCAGCCGCCUUAAUAUUGAACUGUGCUCAAUGGAACUAUGAAGAGUAUUGAUGAUGUGCAGAUGGAAGUUAUGGAACUAGAUUGGAUGUCUCUUUUGGAUUUAAAAAUGGUGGAAAGGGAAGUAGAAAUUCUUAACUAGAUAGGUUUCUAGGCAUGGGCAUGACCAAUAUGAGCAGAAAAAGGAAACAGAGAGAGCUUUUUCUUUUUCUUUUUUUCUUUUUGGAGGAGAGGGAGAGAGGGUUUUGGUGUGUAGGAUCACUUCACUAUUGUAAUAUAAUCAUCAUCGCUUAUGACAAAAA